AUACUUACCCAGCAAGGGAGAUACCGUGAUCAAGAAGGCAGGAUGAGGGCGAGGCUCAGCCAUUGCACUCCGGCUGUGCUGACCCCUGCGAAUUCCCCAAAUGUAGGAAUCUCGACUGGACAAUUUCUGGUAGUGGGGGACUGUGUUCGUACACUCCCCUA